CUGUGUGCUCUGACUAGGAAGGGCUGGGACUGAAGUUUUGCCGUGCACUAACUGGGGCAAAGCAAGUGAAAACUCCUUCAGAAAGAGUCAAAAAUAAUGGCACUCACUGCUUCACUACCAAUAAACUGG